rnacentral:lncRNA from 1 species
CUAAACAACACUUAUGAGUAUUGAGAUAGUGUCCUAGAGGAGAAUCCCAGAGGACAUGCUGAUAUUCCACUAUUUAAUUUGGGCAGUGAGCAUGACGAAGGUAAUAGACGCAGAAUUGCUACAAUCUCUCUGCUGCUUUGAAAAUGAGGAAAUGGUGGGGGAAAGAAGCUUGCUAAGGAUCAUGAAGAGGGCUGCACAAGACCACAAAGUGUUCCCCUCUUAGACGGCUCUGCUGUAUCCAUCCUGGAAAUCAUACUGAGACCAGACCAGCAGGUGAGUCUCAUCCCUGUGUGGAUCUCAUCUCUGCCCCAGAUGGAUGGGGACCUCAUACCUUUAGCUCCCCCUUCUCAGCAGACGAGCACUGUGUGCCUUUGUUGGUUAUUCUCAGGGCAGUCAGUCUUUCUACAGUAUUUGAUUUUCUCUUCCUUCUAGCUCUGGACUCCCUAGAAGUAGUCAGAUAAGAGUCUGUGGUAUUAUUAUGGUUCACUAUUUUCAAGGCUUUGUUGUGGUAUUGAGCUAAUUUUCUAAGUUCUUGACAGUUUAUUUAUUUCUGUUGAUGACCAAUACUCCCAGCCAUACUUCUGGGUUCCCCUUUUCCCUGGCCCAUCUCAACUAAUAUAUAUAUGGGGUCCUUGUGGACAUAGGGCUUCCAUGAAAGCCUCCUCCCCUCCUUCUCCACUUCUUGACCCUCCUGCCAGACUUCUGCUGUAGAAAGGGAGGGUUGAAGGCUAUCCUGGCCUGCACAGUCUCUGGCCCAGUUGGAGCCUGCUUUGUGUCCAGUCCCUCUGUGCUUAGGCUCCCUGGGAUAAGAAGCAUGGUCUCUCAGGUUUUCCAGUCUAACUCCUGCCUUUAACCUAGCCCUAGUACUCUAUGAAUACUCAAGAUCCAUGUGCUGAGUUAACUAAUUAACAACCUAGCUUUUGGAGAUUUCCACUUACCAAACCAACAGGAUGCUGCCUAAUCACCUGGGCCCAAGCAAGUGGGGCCCAGAUGUCCCUGUUCAGCUGCCUUCCCCUGUCCUUUUUUUUUUGGAAAAAAAGUAUUUUCCCCAAGUAUCUCAGUCCUUAAGGAAUCCUACUUUGAAACCUUUUGCAGAUCAAAUCUCUGCUACAGGCAGAAUUUCCUUUGAGGUCACAGGAGGAAUUUCAACAUCAGCUGAAAGUUAAGCCCCUGAGGUCCUGUGAGAUUUCAGUUUUCAACUAUUUGGACUUGUUACUCAUUUGCAGGCCCGGAAUCUCAUUUUUUUUCAUCUCUUUCCAAGAUUGUUUUGUUUUGUUCGGUGAAUGGGUUGUGCAUGCUGGGGGCAGUGGUGUGCUGACAGAGACCAUUUUAAGGUGAUCUUUGAUUUAUAGAUGCCUUUAAUUUCUCAUCUGAUAGAGUUGAAGUAUUUUCCCCAAGUAUCAUUAGCCUUUUCCCCAGUUCCAAAUGUGUCAAUCAGCUGGGGAAGAGGAGCUGACGCUUGAGAGUGAAUGGUGACAAAUUGACACCCAGCCCAGGGGUGAAGACUGGAAUGUGCCUGCUGGAGCAAGAGUAGGGCAGCUCCCUACAGCCCACAGCCGGCUCCAACCCCUACCCCAGCCAGCCCCUUCCUCCCCACAGUGCAAAGGCAUUGAGGAUAAUGCCUCUGCUGCCCACCUCUUGCUUCUCUGACUCUAUAAAUAAGCACCAAGCAAUUAUGGGAUUAACUGAAAUCUGCAGCAAAGGUAAUCAUUUAAGGCUUUGGGCUUUUUAAAAUAAUUUUUAAGUUUGUUUUAAUUAGUUAUAUAUGACAGUAGAAUGUACUUUGAUACAUCCUCUAUAAUGGAGUAUAAUUUCUCAUUCUUCUGGUUAUACAUGAUUCUACAUCAGUCAUAAAUAAAAUAUAAACAAAUACAUUUCCUGUUAAUGGGCAUAGGGCUCUAGCAAUUCAGUUAUUAGUGGGGAUUUCUUCAUGCAAGGAGGUAAUCAAAUUCAGACCAUCAUGCCCACAUCUCUCCUUCUCGUCUCAAACUCUACCUUGGAUUGCAGUGCCAUGACAGUGAGAUUGUUGCAAGCCAGCAAGAAAGCUCAUACCUCUACUUGGGAAGUGAGAUAUUUAUGAAAAUUCUAAUUUUUCUCCUUUUCUUUCCUCUCUGCAGAAAGAUGGAAUGUGAGGCAAGAAGUGAUCUCAUGUUCUUUAAACAUCUAUUAUGUGGCAGACAUGAGAUUAGGUGCUUAACAUAUGUAUUAAGUCAUGUGUGUGUGUGUGUGUGUGUGUGUGACAGAAAGAGAGAAAAAUAUUUUUUAUUGUGAACUAUACUCACUUUCCAAAGACUGCACAAAACAAAAACAUUCAGCUCAAGAUUUAUCACAAAGCAAAUGUCUAUGUAAAAUCAAUAAAUGGAUGUUGCCAUUGUGUUGGCUUAGGAUCCAACUUCUUCAACAAGACUCCUGAAGUGCAAGAAGUAAAAUCAAGAAUCAAUAAAUGGGAUGGUAUCAAAGUAAAAAGCUUCUUCACAGCAAAGAAAACAAUAAAAAAAUGUGAAGAGAGAGCCUACAGAAUGGGAGGAAAUCUGUCCCACCUGCACCUCAGAUAGAACAAUAGUCUCCAGAUUAUAUGAAGAACUCAAAAACCUUAACACCAGAGAAACAAAUAACCCAAUCGAUAAAUGGGCAAAGGAACUGAACACCUACUUCACAGAAGAAGAAAUACGAAGUCAACAAAAAUAUGAAAAAAUGUUCAAUAUCUCUAGCAAUUAGAGAAAUGCAAAUUAAAAUUGUGCUGAGAUUCCAUCUCACUCCAGUCAGAAUGGCAAUUAUUAAGAAUACAAGUAACAAUAAAUGUUAGUGAGCAUGUGGGGGAAAAGGUACACUCAUAUAUUGAUGGUGGGACUGCAAAUUGGUACAAUCACUCUGGAAAGCAGUAUAGAGAUUCCUCAGAAAACUUGGAAUAGAACCACCAUUUGAUCCAGCUAUCCCACUCCUCAGUAUAUACCCAAAGGACUUAAAAUAAGCAUUCUACAGUGACAGAGAAAUGUCAACAUUUAUAGCAGUUCAAUCACAAUAGCUAAGCUAUGGGAUCAACCUAGGUGCCCUUCAACAGAUGAAUGGAUAAAGAAAUGUGGUAUAUAUAUACCCAAUAGAAUAUUACUCAGCCAUAAAGAGAAAGAAUGACUUUAUGGCAUUUGCUGGUAAAUGGAUGGAUCUGGAGACUAUCAUGCUAAGUGAAAUGAGCCAAUCCCCCCCCCCAAAAAAAAACAAAGGCCAAAUGUUCUGUACAAUAUGUACACAAUAAGGGGGAGGGAGAGGGAAGAAUAGAAGUUCAUUGGAUUAGACAAAGGGGGAUGAAGGAAGCAAAGGGGGACAGGAAUAGGAAAGAGAGUGGAAUGAAUGGGACAUAACUUUCCUGUGUUCCUAGAUGAAUACAUGACAGUGAAAUGCCACAUUAUGUACAACUGCAAGAAUGGGAUCCUAAUUAGAAUAAGUUAUACUUCACAUAUGUAUGCCAAAAUACACUCGACUAUCCUGUACAUCUAAAUAUAACAAAUUAAAAAAAAAAAGAAAUAGAUGUUGCCAAAACCCCAGAAAAGUGCCCUUAUGAUCCCUUUUGAUUAUUAUCUCCUUCUCUAAAGAAAAAAACUGACUUUAGGUGAAAUCACUUGCUUUUCUUUGCAGUUUAACACUUAUGUAUUAAUUCCAAACACCAUAGUCUUAUAUUUAAAAAAUUAUAUGGAUGGAAUUAAACAGCAUGUGUUCUUUUGUCUCUUUCUUAAAUAUUAGGUUCACAAACUUUAUUCAUGUUAUUAUUUGUGGCUAUAGAUUUUCAUGUUCAUUUUUUUCUUUAUGGUGUUUCCUGAUAUGAAUAAAAUCUAAUUUUUUUAUUCAUUCUAUUAUUGGCAGAUUUUCAGGUGGUUUCAAGUUUGGGGUUCUUAUAAAAAUAUAAUUCUAUAGUGAGAAUUCUUGAAAAUAUCUCUUUUUGUGCCCAUGUGUUCACAUUUCUAUGGCUAGGUACCUAAGAGUGUAGUUUCUAGGUCUUGAGGUGCUCUAGGAGUUAAUACCAAACAAUGUUCCCAAGAAACUGUAUUUCCAUCAGUGAAAUGGUUUCUCCACCUCCUCUUCAAUACUUAGUAUUCUCAAUAUUUAUAAUUUUACGUUCUGGGGGCCAUGUCAUGGUAUCUUAAUAUUUAUUUGCCCUUUGAAUAUUCUAUGAUGUGACCAUUCCUUUUUUAUAUUGGUUUUCCCCCUACUGAUUUGUGAUAUUUUGUUAUGUAAUUUGGAUACAAAUAAGUGGUCUGUUAUGUAUAUUACAAAUAUCUUAUAUUCCAUAACUAUUAUUUUCACUCUCUGAAUGUUGUCUUUUGAUGAACAGAAAUUAUUACUUUUAAUGUGUCUUUCCUCUGUGAUUAGUAUUACUUGUGUUCUAUUUAAAAAGUUAUCAUUGGAUUAUAGGUUAUAAUUGGAUUCUUUGAUAAUUGGAUUCUUUGAUAAUUGGAUUCUCCUAUAAUUGUCUUCUUAGAGGCUUAUUGUUUUGCCUUCAUAUUUCAAUAUAACUUAUGCCCGAAAUUGCUUUUUAUGAUGGUAUGAGGUAUGUGUUGAAUUUCUUUCUUUCUUUUUUUGGGGGGGGGUUCAGUAUGAAUAUCCCAAAUGUCUUAGUAUAUUUGUUGAGAAGACCAUCUUUUCUUACUACCCAAAUAAAUAAUAUGGG